GACGAACGCUGGCGGCGUGCUUAACACAUGCAAGUCGAACGAUGAAGAAAAGAAUCGAAGCUUCGGCAGAAAUUCAUUUCGGAUUAGUGGCAGACGGGUGAGUAACGCGUGAGCAACCUACCUCUUACAAAGGGAUAGCCUCGGGAAACCGGGAUUAAUACCAUAUAACAUUGCGACGAAGCAUUUCGAUGCAAUCAAAGCUACGGCGGUAAGAGAUGGGCUCGCGUCCCAUUAACCGGAUGGUGAGGUAACGGCUCACCAUAGUGACGAUGGGUAACCGGCCUGAGAGGGUGAACGGUCACACUGGAACUGAGACACGGUCCAGACUCCUACGGGAGGCAGCAGUGGGGAAUAUUGCACAAUGGAGGGAACUCUGAUGCAGCGACGCCGCGUGAGUGAUGAAGGAAUUCGUUUCGUAAAACUCUGUUCUAUGGGAAGAAAAGGACGGUACCAUAGGAGAAAGCUCCGGCUAAAUACGUG
rnacentral:rRNA from 1 species